GACGAACGCUGGCGGCGUGCCUAAUACAUGCAAGUAGAACGCUGAAGCUUGGUGCCUGCACCGAGCGGAUGAGUUGCGAACGGGUGAGUAACGCGUAGGUAACCUGCCUGGUAGCGGGGGAUAACUAUUGGAAACGAUAGCUAAUACCGCAUAAGAGUAGAUGUUGCAUGACAUUUGCUUAAAAGGUGCAAUUGCAUCACUACCAGAUGGACCUGCGUUGUAUUAGCUAGUUGGUGAGGUAACGGCUCACCAAGGCAACGAUACAUAGCCGACCUGAGAGGGUGAUCGGCCACACUGGGACUGAGACACGGCCCAGACUCCUACGGGAGGCAGCAGUAGGGAAUCUUCGGCAAUAGACGGAAGUCUGACCGAGCAACGCCGCGUGAGUGAAGAAGGUUUUCGGAUCGUAAAGCUCUGUUGUAAGAGAAGAACGAGUGUGAGAGUGGAAAGUUCACACUGUGACGGUAUCUUACCAGAAAGGGACGGCUAACUACGUG
rnacentral:rRNA from 1 species